rnacentral:rRNA from 1 species
UACGUAGGUGGCGAGCGUUGUCCGGAUUUAUUGGGCGUAAAGCGCGCGCAGGCGGUCCGUUACGUCCGUUGUGAAAGCUCCCGGCUCAACUGGGAGAGGUCUUCGGAUACGGGCGGACUCGAGGAAGGUAGAGGAAGGUGGAAUUCCCGGUGUAGUGGUGAAAUGCGUAGAGAUGCGGAGGAACACCAGUGGCGAAAGCGACUUUCUGGUCCUCAACUGACGCUGAGGCGCGAAAGCAUGGGGAGCGAACGGG